rnacentral:rRNA from 1 species
AACGAACGCUGGCGGCGCGCCUAACACAUGCAAGUCGAACGAGAAGGCGUAGCAAUACGCUUGUAGAGUGGCGAACGGGUGAGUAAUACGUGGGUGACCUACCCUCGAGUGGGGAAUAACCCGCCGAAAGGCGGGCUAAUGCCGCGUACGCUUCCGUCCUCACGGGGACGGAAGGAAAGCUGUACCGUGGGUACGGCGCUCAAGGAUGGGCUCACGUCCUAUCAGCUUGUUGGUAGGUAACGGCCUACCAAGGCUACGACGGGUAGCUGGUCUGAGAGGACGAUCAGCCACACUGGCACUGCGACACGGGCCAGACUCCUACGGGAGGCAGCAGUGAGGAAUAUUG